GAGACACCUGUGUGAUAACCACAGGAAGUCCCUGUGACAAAUAAAAAGGCAGUUCUUCGCCAAGAUCUUAUCAGGAGAGUUUGAACUCAGCUGGGUCAGGAUAAGGUGCUUUGGAGGAGAAGAAAGACUGGGGGAAACUCUGCUGGGUUAUAGAGUCUCCUGCUGAAGCUGAGCCCUCACAACUCCACUGGGCUCCAUCUGACUCGAAUUAAACAAGGGAUGAUCAAAGUCUACAAAUCUCCCUGAUCUCUAUCAGCAUGGAGAGCUAAAGGUUUGGUCCAGGCAUAUUCUUUCACGAUCCUUCAGUGGGAGUGGUUUAAGAGCAGCAGAACCAGAUGGCUCCUAACGCCAAGCUGUAGAUGAGAGGAAGCAUGAAGAUGGUUGAGUUAAAUAUAGCACCGGGGUUGAAGCAUAACAGACUGUCCAGGGCGCCAGUCACAAAAGAAGAAAGAAUUUACUUCAGAGAGGAUUAAGCACUCUCCUGCUACAGAGGUUGUACAUGAUGUCAAAGAGUGGAGAGUACUGAACAGCAUGCUAGGAAAAGGAAAAUCCCGGGAAAUGAACAUGCUGCUCUGUGGUUAGCUCAAAAUGGAAGAGGAGUUUCGCCACUCUUUUCCCUGAACUGGUGACAGCUGUGACAAAGCCAUACCACAGAGUUACAGCUCCAGCUUCAUCCUCAGUGUGUGUCUGUGUGUGCCUGUGGGUAAGGAAAAGUCAUGUCUUUGUACGGCUGCAGUGGUGUCCUAGAGUGAGUGAGCGACAGGCUGAACACACUGUGGGUGGCACUAAAGUGAGAAAUUUGGCCAUGUCCCCUCCCAGCUUGUGACUCUCUGCUCACACUUCCAGGAUUGAUUUUCUCAUGCCAGCUCUGUAACUCGGUGUUGGAAUCCUAGAAACUUAUAAUUUGGGUUUUGGGUGUAUAGUGGUACAUGUGAGUCAAGAUGGAGGAUUUUGGGUGUUGUCCAAGUCCUUCUUCUUCACUUUCUUCUUCCUUCUUCUUCAUGGAUUUGGAUGGUUUUCUGUAAAUAGGUGAAAAACAACCAUAUUGCAGGUGUUUGGUCAUUAUUGGGUCAAAAGUAUAAAUAAUAUAGGUGUCAUCUCUUUAUUGGGGGAUUAUCACUUAAAUAACCUUGGAAUGUGAUAGAAGCUCUCCAUUUUAUCUUCAUUUUCUAUGAGCUCACAGUGUGUGAGCUUGUAAAUACUGUAAAUAGAUAAGAGAUAAUGAACAUUCCAAGGCCGAACUCGAGCUUGGCGUUUCCCGAGUAUUAUCCAUCCUGACCUUGGCAGAGAAGAAAAGAAGCCCAAACCUUUACAACCCCUAAUAUUAGGAGGCAUGAGAAAAUGGUUCCUGGAAGCAUAAAUGUGACCCUGAAAUGGAGGGAAUGUGUCUGGGUGCUGUCCCCGAGCCUCAGUGGAGGCAGAAGUCUGCAGGCUGGCUAUGGACAAUCUCUGCAGCCACCUCAGCUUGUCCUUAAAAACCUGGCUCACCACUCCCUAGCCAGGAUGGCAAUAUUGAACCUUCCAAAUACAAAAAUAAGAGCUGGACUGCACCAGGGCUUCUUCCAGGGUGAAGGGAGAGACAGGCAAAGGAGGCAGAGCUGGGUUUAGAGCUGGCAGUGGGAGAUGUAGUGGCUGUGUCUUGUUGUGCCACAUCUCUGCUCCCUGAGCAUCUCCUCACUUGCCACUCGUGCAGCAGGCACACUGCCUGCAGGACCCUGGCACAGGACCCCUGUAGCUCUGCAAAAACCUGUUGUUGUGCAGGUGCUUUGUCUCCUGAAACUGUGUGUAGAAAAGAUACAAAACAGGGGUUGUAUUUCUUGUGCUGGGAGCUGUGCAGCCAUGAGGGAUGUGAUGUGGUGGAGGCAGGAGGUGCUCAGGAUUUCUGGGUUUGUGCUGGAAGAGAUCUUCCUCAGUGGCCAACUGUGAGAAAAUAGUGGAAACCGUUUCCAAACCCUUGCAAACGAAAGAGCUCUGGGUUUUGGAGAGGUGGCAGGAACUCAGUCACCUUGUUUGGUCAAACGAAGGGUGUGGGCAGAAGGAGAGGAGUGAGUUCUCUUUUCCCACGUGGUGAAAAGCUUUGCUUUGUUUUCAGUAUCAUUGUUAAGAUUGUGCUGUGAUGAAUGCAAGAGGGUUCCUGUGGUGAAAAUCAAACUGUCCCCUUCCCACCGUGCUGAUAGGUGCUGUGUGAAGGCCUGGAAUUUUACAUUGCAGAAAAAUACUGGGAAUUGGGGAGCUACAGAGAGGAAUAUGUUUUAUCAGCAAGGAAUCUGCUCACCCUGCUGCCUCCUCCUCUCCCUACAUGGAUAUAAGGGCCCCUUCUGUGGAGAGAGGAUUUAAAGAAAAUUGGACAUUGAAAGCAGAACCCUUCAUCUGCUAUCAUUUGUUUAUUGAACAACCUCAUAACAGUGAUGAUUAGGAAAAUAUUUCAUUGAAAUUCAUCAAAUAACGUUCUCUGUAAAGAAAUUGCUAUAGUAAAAUGCUACUUGUGCUGAACAGAUAACAGAAUCAUCACAGGACCUAUUGAACAAUUUAUCCCACACAGACACUAACUUCUAGAAAACAAUUCCCUUUCGAGAUUUGCCUUUUAUAAGGAGAAAGAAAUGCUGGACACUGGUUUAAUUUCAGUUUGUAUAUCUCCAGAUCUACACAAAAGGCAUUUGCCCACUGAGUUUUGUGCCUUUUAUUAGGAAUGAUUUACUGGAAAAGAAUGUGUUUCACUUUUAUUGACCCUGAGCACUAGAAAUGGAUGAAGAAUUGAUUUUUUGGUUUGCUGAGUGAACUAGGAAUUUGUGAGGAAAAUGCUUGUGGGUUGAUCCCCCCAACUUUUUCAUCUUCCCACAGAAGUGUAAAAUAAAAAAAGCUAAAAAGGAUUGCGUUGGCCCAAGGAUUUCUUUGACACAGAACACAAUAUGUUGUUC